GACGAACGCUGGCGGCGUGCUUAACACAUGCAAGUCGAACGGUAAGGCCCUUCGGGGUACACGAGUGGCGAACGGGUGAGUAACACGUGGGUGAUCUGCCCUGCACCUCGGGAUAAGCCUGGGAAACUGGGUCUAAUACCGGAUAGGACCCUGGGAUGCAUGUCCUGGGGUGGAAAGCUUUUGCGGUGUGGGAUGGGCCCGCGGCCUAUCAGCUUGUUGGUGGGGUGAUGGCCUACCAAGGCGACGACGGGUAGCCGGCCUGAGAGGGUGACCGGACACACUGGGACUGAGAUACGGGCCAGACGCAUACGGGAGGCAGCAGUGGGGAAUAUUGCACACUGGGCGCAAGCCUGAUGCAGCGACGCCGCGUGAGGGAUGACGGCCUUCGGGUUGUAAACCUCUUUCAGCACCGACGAAGCGCAAGUGACGGUAGGUGCAGAAGAAGGACCGGCCAACUACGUGCCAGCCGCCGCCGUAA
rnacentral:rRNA from 1 species